AACCAGCUCUUCAAGUGGUCGGGAUAAUUAUUGGGCUUAAAGUGUCCGUAGCCGGUUUAGUAAGUUCCUGGUAAAAUCGGGUGGCUUAACUAUUCGUAUGCUAGGAAUACUGCUAUACUAGAGGGCGGGAGAGGUCUGAGGUACUACAGGGGUAGGGGUGAAAUCUUAUGAUCCUUGUAGGACCACCAGUGGCGAAGGCGUCAGACUGGAACGCGCCUGACGGUGAGGGACGAAAGCCAGGGGAGCGAACCGGAUUAGAUACCCGGGUAGUCCUGGCCGUAAACGAUGCAUACUAAGGUGAUGGCACGGCCGUGAGCCGUGUCAGUGCCGUAGGGAAACCGUUAAGUGUGCCGCCUGGGAAGUACGGUCGCAAGGCUAAAACUUAAAGGAAUUGGCGGGGGAGCACCACAAGGGGUGAAGCCUGCGGUUC
rnacentral:rRNA from 1 species